rnacentral:rRNA from 1 species
CCUACGGGAGACUGCAGUGGGGGAUAUUGCACAAUGGGGGGAACCCUGAUGCAGCGACGCCGCGUGGGUGAAGGAGUGCUUCGGCAUGUAAAGCCCUAUCGGCAGGGAAGAAGCAAGACGGUACCUGACUAAGAAGCCCCGGCUAACUACGUGCCAGCAGCCGCGGUAAUACGUAGGGGGCGAGCGUUAUCCGGAUUCACUGGGUGUAAAGGGAGCGUAGACGGCCAUGCAAGCCAGGGGUGAAAGCCCGGGGCCCCACCCCGGGACUGCCCUUGGAACUGUGCGGCUAGAGUGCGGGAGGGGCAGGCGGAAUUCCUGGUGUAGCGGUGAAAUGCGUAGAUAUCAGGAGGAACACCGGCGGCGAAGGCGGCCUGCUGGACUGCGACUGACGUUGAGGCUCGAAAGCGUGGGGAGCGAACAGGAUUAGAUACCCCUGUAGUC